ensembl:snoRNA small nucleolar RNA SNORA2/SNORA34 family
CUGGCCCUGAAUCAAGGCUGACACCUUCCUGAUGCUAUUGGCUUCAAGCAGGAGUCUAAAGAGGUGUCUUUCUAUGGUCUGUUGGUCAUUUCAGAACUUGGGCAGUGAAAUGGUCAAUUCGUUACGAAGAAACAGCU